CGAGUAAAGCAGCGAUGCGCUUAGGGAUGGGCCUGCGGCGGAUUAGGUAGUUGGUGGGGUAACGGCCUACCAAGCCGAUGAUCCGUAGGGGGCGUGAGAGCGUGGCCCCCCACACUGGCACUGAGACACGGGCCAGACUCCUACGGGAGGCAGCAGUGAGGAAUAUUGCACAAUGGGCGCAAGCCUGAUGCAGCAACGCCGCGUGAGGGACGAAGGCCUUCGGGUUGUAAACCUCUUUUCUGAGGGACGAGGAAGGACGGUACCUCAGGAAUAAGUCUCGGCUAACUACGUGCCAGCAGCCGCGGUAAAACGUAGGAGGCGAGCGUUAUCCGGAUUUACUGGGCGUAAAGCGCGCGCAGGUGGCUUCGUGAGUCGGACAUGAAAGCUCCUGGCUUAACUGGGAGAGGCUGUUCGAUACUGCGGGGCUUGAGGUUGGGAGAGGGACGCGGAAUUCCCGGUGUAGUGGUGGAAUGCGUAGAUAUCGGGAGGAACACCAGUGGCGCAAGCGGCGUCCUGGCCCACACCUGACGCUGAGGUGCGAAAGCGUGGGUAGCAAACAGGAUUAGAUACCCUGGUAGUCCACGCUGUAAACGAUGUCAACUGGGUGUCGGUAGUUUUACACUAUCGGUGCCGAAGC
rnacentral:rRNA from 1 species